rnacentral:lncRNA from 1 species
UGGCUCUGGAUCGAUCGAACAAAGGCAAGGGAAGGGUGAAACCCUAGUUUCACUAAUUUCAUCAAAUUGGGAAGAAAUCUCAAGGAAGCUUGGAUGCAUGAACCUGAAUGUUGAUCAUUUAAGUGUCUCUAACACAAAAAUGAGAUAAUAGGAGCGUGUCAAGGAGAGGUCAAGCAUAGGAGGAUAACGGGUCAAGAUAAGGCAAGGUGACAAAUACACUUAUUGGAGUACUCAAGGUAAGUGGAUUUCGAUUCACUUUUUAGUAGGUUUAAUAGAUUUUAAUACUUAUGUUUAUGAAAAAUCAUGAAAGAAAAUGUAAUAAUCAGAAGUACAAAGCUAAUAAUGCCUCAUUAUUGAAGAAGGUUGUUAUGUAAGCCGAAAGUAAAUUGGUGGGUUUAAACGGGUCGGAUUUUAUGUGCAUGGGUUGCGUAAUGUAAUGAAAUUUGUUAUGGUUAAGACCUUGGGUAAGAAUUUUUAGUCAAUUAUGUAAGGGGAAUAUUUUCCGGACCAUUAGGAACAAGUUUUAUAUGAUUCGGUUGUGUAUGGGUCAAGACAUGGUAGUUCUAAUGUUUAAAAUGGAAGUUGAGCUGGGCACUACCGUAGCUUACGGUAGCCACCGUAAGCUACGGUGGGUUCUGAAGUCUUUUUGGCCACCGCAAGGCAGCAACACUUCACCGUAGGGGUUUUAUGGCCACCGUAAGCUACGGUAGCCACCGUAGCUUACGGUGGAACUGUCGCGCUCCGCAUAAUAGUAAGCUAUGGCUUACGCGGCCCGCGAGGGACCGUGCUGUUGGCGUUUUGCUGAAAUUGUGAUGUUUUGAGUAUGGAACUUGUUUAAAAAUGAUUUUUUUUUAAGGCCACAUACGUUAUGAUAAGGAUGGUUUCGUAUAUCAAUGAUGCUAAGGUUGUUGGUUAGUGAAUGAAUGGAUUGUUUCGUGUCAGUGUAGGAAAUUUUAUAAGUAUAUGUGUAUAGGAAUCCAAAAGGCAUGUGGGUUGAAUCAUAGAUGGUCUAUACUAUGUAAGGUUGUAAAUGUGUCAUUUCGGCAUAAACCUACAUGUGCGAAAUGGUAAAAGGAGCUUGUGAAUAUAUUCGUGAUUAAUUGAUUGUGCGUAGGAAGGAAAAUUGGCACGUAUGAAGGUACGCAUGUAUAUAUAAGUAUAUAUAUGUAUGUAUGUAUGAUAAUAAGUACGUAGGUGUGAAUGUAUGUGUGAAUGAAUGUUCCAUGCUUAAGACAUAUGCAUGAACGUUAUCAAAGUGUUCGAGUAUUUAUGAUUACUAAUGAUGUGCAUUGAGUUGGAAUGUAAUGUAGGUAUGGAUUGUUGGUUUCAUGAAGAAAUGGAGCUGGAUUUGGAUAAGAGUAUUUAAGAAAGCGCUUGGACAAUUCCACGAUUACUUUAUAGAAUGCUCUACGAAAUUCUAUUAUAUAGUUUAAUGUUGUAUGUUAUGUUAAUGACUAACGGUUUGGUUGUACGUGGUGUCCACAGGUAUCGUUUGGGUUUUCUCUACAUUUAUUGAAGUGAAGCGGACUUAGUUCGAGUUGAGAGCAAGGAUUGUACGGGGUAGAAUGGCCACAUAGUGUAACUCAUAUAGGUUUUGAAGUAUUAAGGUUAUAAAACGUUAUAAAUCCGUUUUAAUGAAUAUAUGGCAUUUCGCAUUUGAACCUUCAUGUGUAUGAUAUGCUAUUAAAGAACGAAAUUUUUGGGCUCUUAUUUUCCGCUGUGUCGUAUUUUAAGUUAAUACACGUUAGUCUUACAGGGAAUUGUUUUUAUUACGAACGGGUCAUGCCCGAAUUUUGUUCAAUUAUAGUAUGAUAACAUUACAUUUUGUAAUGUGUAAUUUGGACGUUACAAGUUGGUAUCAAAGCCCUGGUUUGAGAGAAAUCAAGUAGAAGGAGGUAUAUACUUGAACUCAAACCUGUGUGCUCUUGUGACAAGGAACCCGUACAAUCCAAGACUCGAUCAAGGCCUAAAGUUAAAAGCGAAUGUAAGUAUGUAUUAAUUUAUGUAUUUAAAGGAAACUAAUAGUAUGUUAUGUGAAGGGUAAGCACAAUUGCUUGGAAAGGAUGAUCUGUGGAUGUGGUCUAGGACCAGCACCAAGGCAUGUAAUAAGACAUAAUGACCCAGGUACGUAAAAGCAUAUGGGUGCACGUAAUGCAAAAAUUUAUUGAGCCAAGGAAAAUUUUAAUGAAAUAUAAUAAUAGAAUGGACACGAAGUUAUGAAAAUGAUACACGUGCCGAAACCUAAUUCUUCGGACAUAAGGUGACGAUUACACAAAGGCACGAAACUAGUAUGUGGAAUGUGUGUGUACCUGGCCAGUACACAAGAAACAUAUGACGUUCGUGAGACUGUGAUGAUUGUUACAAGCAUGUCCGUUAGAAUUAGUUGGUAGGUGGACAUGAGCGUAAAAAGAAAUGUAAGACUUUCAGGAAUGAAAGUAUGAAUGAUAUGUUAGAAUCCGUGAGACGGAUUCGAAACAUGAAAGGAAGGAAAGUAUGAAUGAUAUGUUAGAAUCCGCGAGACGGAUUCGAAACAUGAAAAGAAGGAAAGUAUGAAUGAUAUGUUAGAAUCCGCGAGACGGAUUCGAAACAUGAAAGGAAGGAAAGUAUGAAUGAUAUGUCAGAAUUCGCGAGACGGAUUCGAAACAUGAAAGGAAGGAAAGUAUGAAUAAUAUGCUAGAAUCCGCGAGACGGAUUCGAAACAUUAAAGGAAUGAAAGUAUAAAUGAUAUGUUAGAAACCGCUUGACGGGUUCGAAACAAACGAUAAGAAUGAAAAGAUUCGAAUGUGUAGGUAAUUACAGACUAAGCAAUUAAAUAUUCUUUAAAAAGCAAAUAUUAUUCAAGUUAUGUCUUAAACUUAUACAUAUACAAAUAUGUUUGUAUGUGAGAAUGGUUAAAAAGACGAAUGAGUCAUGCAGGUCAAAUGGUAACCGCCACUUAAACCCGACAUUUAAUGUUUUGAAUUGUUAAGUUUUAUACUUGUAGGAGAGCAUAAUGUUUGGCACGUAAACAUAAACCUUAGUCGAAAGAAAUAAAAUUUGAAAUAAGUUACAUGUAAGACAUGGAAUUAAUUAACUCAUGGGAGUCGAAAUGAAUGACAUCUAUGACCUAGACAAAUGAGUUAAAGAUUUGAAAAAAAAAAUGAAUGGGUAUGCAUUGACCCGUCAUUAACGGGUCAAACCAAGAAAUUUACGUGAUAAGUAAUGGUCAUGUAUCGACCUGUUUUGAACAGGUUGAACACACUAAUGUU